rnacentral:rRNA from 1 species
AUUGAACGCUGGCGGCAUGCUUUACACAUGCAAGUCGAACGGUAACAGGCCGCCAGGUGCUGACGAGUGGCGAACGGGUGCGUAAUGCAUCGGAACGUGCCCAGUCGUGGGGGAUAACUACUCGCAAGAGUAGCUAAUACCGCAUACGAUCUAUGGAUGAAAGCGGGGGACCGUAAGGCCUCGCGCGAUUGGAGCGGCCGAUGUCAGAUUAGGUAGUUGGUGGGGUAAAGGCUCACCAAGCCAACGAUCUGUAGCUGGUCUGAGAGGAGGACCAGCCACACGGGAACUGGGACACGGCCCAGACUCCUGCGGGAGGCAGCAGUGGGGAAUUUUGGACAAUGGACGCAAGCCUGAUCCAGCAAUGCCGCGUGCAGGAAGAAGGCCUUCGGGUUGUAAACUGCUUUUGUACGGAACGAAACGGCUCUGGUUAAUACCCGGGGCUAAUGACGGUACCGUAAGAAUAAGCACCGGCUAACUACGUG